rnacentral:tRNA from 1 species
GCCCCCUUAGCUCAGUGGAAUAGAGCAGCUGCCUUCUAAGCAGCGGGUCGCAGGUUCGAGUCCUGCAGGGGGUGCCA